GCCCGAGUCGUAUACGGGUUAGUAUCCCACGCUGUGGCCGUGGGGAACCGGGUUCGAUUCCCGGCUCGGGCC
rnacentral:tRNA from 1 species